rfam:Echinostoma caproni strain Egypt genome assembly, scaffold: ECPE_scaffold0006917
GCACGGCUGACAAGUCCCAAACAGGACGAAACAACUUUCCAGUGC